rnacentral:rRNA from 1 species
UACGUAGGUGGCAAGCGUUGUCCGGAUUUAUUGGGUUUAAAGGGUGCGUAGGUGGCCCUGUAAGUCAGUGGUGAAAUAUCUCAGCUUAACUGAGAGGGUGCCAUUGAUACUGCAGGGCUUGAGUACAGAUGAGGUAGGCGGAAUUGACGGUGUAGCGGUGAAAUGCAUAGAUAUCGUCAAGAACACCGAUAGCGAAGGCAGCUUACUGGGCUGUAACUGACGCUGAUGCACGAAAGUGUGGGGGAUCAAACAGG